rnacentral:rRNA from 1 species
GCAAAACGCGAAGAACCUUACCAAGUCUUGACAUAUCUCGCAAGGCCCUAGAGAUAGGGAGAUAGUUAUGGAGGAUACAGGUGGUGCAUGGUUGUCGUCAGCUCGUGUCGUGAGAUGUUGGGUUAAGUCCCGCAACGAGCGCAACCCCUGUCUUUAGUUACCAUCAUUCAGUUGGGGACUCUAGAGAGACUGCCGGUGAUAAACCGGAGGAAGGUAGGGAUGACGUCAAAUCAUCAUGCCCCUUAUGACUUGGGCAACACACGUACUACAAUGGCAAUUACAAAGGGAAGCGAAAGAGUGAUCUGGAGCGAAACUCAUAAAGGUUGUCUCAGUUCGGAUUGAAGUCUGCAACUCGACUUCAUGAAGUUGGAAUCGCUAGUAAUCGCGGAUCAGCAUGCCGCGGUGAAUACGUUCUCGGGUCUUGUACACACCG